rnacentral:rRNA from 1 species
AGAGUUUGAUCCUGGCUCAGGAUGAACGCUGGCGGCGUGCUUAACACAUGCAAGUCGAACGGGAAUUACAUUUUAGCUUGCUAAGUUGUAAUCUAGUGGCGGACGGGUGAGUAACGCGUGGGUAACCUGCCUUAUACCGGGGGACAACAGUUGGAAACGGCUGCUAAUACCGCAUAAGCGCACAGUCUCGCAUGAGACAGUGUGAAAAAACUCCGGUGGUAUAAGAUGGACCCGCGUCUGAUUAGCCAGUUGGCGGUGUAACGGACCACCAAAGCGACGAUCAGUAGCCGGCCUGAGAGGGUGAACGGCCACAUUGGGACUGAGACACGGCCCAAACUCCUACGGGAGGCAGCAGUGGGGAAUAUUGCACAAUGGAGGAAACUCUGAUUGCAGCGACGCCGCGUGAGUGAAGAAGUAUUUCGGUAUGUAAAGCUCUAUCAGCAGGAAAGAAAAUGACGGUACCUGACUAAGAAGCCCCGGCUAACUACGUGCCAGCCGCCGC